UCGAACGAUGCUUUCGGGCAUAGCGGCGCACGGGUGCGUAACGCGUGGGAAUCUGCCCUUAGGUUCGGAAUAACAGUUAGAAAUGACUGCUAAUACCGGAUAAUGUCGAUAAGACCAAAGAUUUAUCGCCUGAGGAUGAGCCCGCGUAGGAUUAGCUAGUUGGUGUGGUAAAGGCGCACCAAGGCGACGAUCCUUAGCUGGUCUGAGAGGAUGAUCAGCCACACUGGGACUGAGACACGGCCCAGACUCCUACGGGAGGCAGCAGUGGGGAAUAUUGGACAAUGGGCGCAAGCCUGAUCCAGCAAUGCCGCGUGAGUGAUGAAGGCCUUAGGGUUGUAAAGCUCUUUUACCCGGGAUGAUAAUGACAGUACCGGGAGAAUAAGCCCCGGCUAACUACCGUG
rnacentral:rRNA from 1 species